GUGGGGGAUAUUGCACAAUGGGGGAAACCCUGAUGCAGCGACGCCGCGUGAAGGAAGACGUACUUCGGUAUGUAAACUUCUAUCAGCAGGGAAGAAGAUGACGGUACCUGACUAAGAAGCCACGGCUAACUACGUGCCAGCAGCCGCGGUAAUACGUAGGGGGCAAGCGUUAUCCGGAUUUACUGGGUGUAAAGGGAGCGUAGACGGUGAAGCAAGUCUGAUGUGAAAACCCGGGGCUCAACUCCGGGAUUGCAUUGGAAACAGUUUUACUUGAGUGCUUGAGGGGCAAGCGGAAUUUCUGGUGUAGCGGUGAAAUGCGUAGAUAUCAGGAAUAACACCGGUGGCGAAGGCGGCUUGCUGGACAGUAACUGACGUUGAGGCUCGAAAGCGAGGGGAGCAAACAGGAUUAGAAACCCGUGUAGUCC
rnacentral:rRNA from 1 species